rnacentral:rRNA from 1 species
CAGUGGCGAACGGGUGAGUAACACGUGGGCAAUCUGCCCCAGAUUCUGGGACAACCCGGGGAAACUCGGGCUAAUACCGGAUGUGACGCGUGGCCGCAUGGUCUGCGCGUGGAAAGCUCCGGCGAUCUGGGAUGAGCCCGCGGCCUAUCAGCUUGUUGGUGGGGUGAUGGCCUACCAAGGCGACGACGGGUAGCCGGCCUGAGAGGGCGACCGGCCACACUGGGACUGAGACACGGCCCAGACUCCUACGGGAGGCAGCAGUGGGGAAUAUUGCACAAUGGGCGCAAGCCUGAUGCAGCGACGCCGCGUGAGGGAUGACGGCCUUCGGGUUGUAAACCUCUUUCAGCAGGGAAGAAGCGCAAGUGACGGUACCUGCAGAAGAAGCACCGGCUAACUACGUGCCAGCAGCCGCGGUAAUACGUAGGGUGCGAGCAUUGUCCGGAAUUAUUGGGCGUAAAGAGCUCGUAGGCGGCUUGUCGCGUCGGAUGUGAAAGCCCGGGGCUUAACCCCGGGUCUGCAUUCGAUACGGGCAGGCUAGAGUUCGGUAGGGGAGAUCGGAAUUCCU